GACGAACGCUGGCGGCGCGCCUAACACAUGCAAGUCGAACGGAGUCAAGAGGAGCUUGCUUUUCUUGACUUAGUGGCGAACGGGUGAGUAACGCGUGAGUAACCUGCCCUGGAGUGGGGGACAACAGUUGGAAACGACUGCUAAUACCGCAUAAGCCCACGGAUCUGCAUGGAUCUGCGGGAAAAGGAUUUAUUCGCUCUAGGAUGGACUCGCGUCCAAUUAGCUAGUUGGUGAGGUAACGGCCCACCAAGGCGACGAUUGGUAGCCGGACUGAGAGGUUGAACGGCCACAUUGGGACUGAGACACAGCCCAGACUCCUACGGGAGGCAGCAGUGGGGGAUAUUGCACAAUGGGGGAAACCCUGAUGCAGCGACGCCGCGUGGAGGAAGAAGGUUUUCGGAUUGUAAACUCCUGUCGUUAGGGACGAUAAUGACGGUACCUAACAAGAAAGCACCAGCUAACUACGUG
rnacentral:rRNA from 1 species